AGGCUAGUUACAGUGAGUCCCCUACAUACAAACCUUCAAGUUGUGAACUUACAAAGCUGUGAACAUGUAUUCCAUCAACAUCAGGCAUGAGUGAAAUUAUUUUCCGUCUUUUACUGUUGACAAUCCUUCAGCUCUACCAUCUCCCACCACCACUCCCUCCUCCAGUCAGUAGCUCUUCUUGCUUGUUCACUCGAUGCCAGCUCCUGUAUGCCAGCUGCUGCACUGUACUACUGUACUUUUCAAGGAUGUCUGGCUUGGCGGCUGCAAUGGACAGCGCAGAAGCAUGGCCAAGAGGAACUACUCCAUGUCCAAGGUCAGGGGCAGCGGCCAGGAGGAGCUACCCCACCCCCGAGGUCAGGGGCGGCAGAGGGGAAGAGCUACCUCACGUCCAACGUAAGGAUCAGGCUGUGCUUUGCUGGAGCAGCUGUGAAGAGAUACCCCAUGCCCAAGGUACAUUCACUUCUGGAGCCAAGUGGAGGAAGUGUUACACAAUGUAAGAAGUGAUGCACUUAUGUCAAAUCCUGCUGAGAGAACAGAGAAAAGGGUCUGUGUGCCCUUGAACUAGACAAGAUGGAAGUCUCUGGUGAUCUUGU
ensembl:lncRNA